rnacentral:lncRNA from 1 species
AAGAUUUCCCUCGAUAGAAAAGUUGGGAAGUUAUGGUUAUCUUCAGAAGCAUAUGUUGAAAGGGUUCUUGAAAGAUUUAACAUGGGUAAGGCAAAAUAUGUUUGUUCUCCACUUGCAGGCCAUUUCAAGCUUACUUCUGAACAUUAUCCUACAAGUGAGAAAGAGAAGCAAGAGAUGAGAGGAGUUCCUUAUGCUUCAGCGGUUAGUAGUUUGAUGUACAUCAUGGUUUGUACAAUACCAUAUAUUGCUCGUGCAGUUGGUGUAGUUAGUCGGUUUCUCUCCAAUCCGGGUAACGAAUACUGGACAUCAGUAAAGUGGAUUCUCAGAUAUUUCAAAGGCACUUAUGAGGCAUGUUUAUGCUUUGGUGGUGACAAACAUGUAUUACAAGUGUACAUGGAUGUAGAUAUGGCAGGAGAUGUUGAUUCAAGAAAAUUUCUAUCAGGAUAUUUUCUCACCUUUGCAGGGGGAGCAGUCUCAUGGCAGUCCAGACUUUAGUAGUGUGUUGUCUUGUCUACCA